GCAGUCGAACGAAGACCCUUGUACUCGUACGAGGAAUUCUUAGUGGCGAACGGGUGAGUAUCGCGUUGGUGACCUGCCCCGAAGUGGGGGACAACAGUCCGAAAGGACUGCUAAUACCCCAUGUGGCCGUGAUAAUUAGAAAGUCACGACUAAAGGAGUAAUCCGCUUCGGGAGGGGCCUGCGUCCCAUCAGCUAGUUGGUAAGGUAAUGGCUUACCAAGGCUACGACGGGUAGGGGACCUGAGAGGGUGGCCCCCCACACUGGUACUGAAACACGGACCAGACACCUACGGGUGGCAGCAGUAGGGAAUAUUGCACGAUGGGCGAAGGCCUGAUGCAGCAACACCGCGUGUGUGAUGAAGGCCUUCGGGUCGUAAAGCACUUUUAUGAGGGAAGAGGAAGGACGGUACCUCAUGAAUAAGGAUCGGCUAACUACGUGCCAGCAGCCGCGGUAACACGUAGGAUCCAAGCGUUAUCCGGAUUUACUGGGCGUAAAGCGCGUGUAGGCGGCUUAGUAAGUUGGAUGUGAAAGCUCCCGGCCCAACCGGGAGACGUCGUUCAAUACUGCUAAGCUUGAGGACGAUAGAGGAAGGUGGAAUUCCGGGUGUAGUGGUGAAAUGCGUAGAUAUCCGGAGGAACACCAGUGGCGAAGGCGGCCUUCUGGGUCGUUCCUGACGCUCAGACGCGAAAGCUAGGGUAGCGAACGGGAUUAGAAGCCCCGGUAGUCCUAGCCGUAAACGAUGUCAACUUGGUGUUGGUGGUGUAAAAACCAUCAGUGCCGUAGCUAACGCGAUAAGUUGACCGCCUGGGGACUACGACCGCAAGGUUAAAACUCAAAGGAAUUGACGGGGCCCCGCACAAGCAGCGGAGCGUGUGGUUUAAUUCGAUGCUACGCGAAGAACCUUACCUGGGUUUGACAUAUAAGUG
rnacentral:rRNA from 1 species